rnacentral:lncRNA from 1 species
UUCUCACCUUAUUAGGGUAGUAACUUUUCUAGCAAGACAGUUCAAGAGUCUGGUGGUCACUGAAAAAUGUAUAUCUACUGUCUAUUAUGCAGCCAUGUCAGCAUUCCAACCAUGCCAAAGCUCUCUCCUGCAAGCUGCUGUGCAAGCUUAGAAAAAGACAGUCUCUGCUUGGAAGCAUUUAACAGAUAGAUAUUCUAUCCUGUUUGAAUAGGAUAUGACAAAGAAGACUGAUGAACUUUAGGGUUGAACAGCAACAGAGAACAGCAAGAGAGAAAGAAGGACGAAUUCAAGAAAAAUAAUUGUAUUUUUUUCCACUGAAAUUCUAACCUAGUCUGCAUUUCUUUGCUUUCUCAGUUACAUACGACUGAUCUUUCUGUUGACAUACCAAUGGGCCAAACUGUUACAAUUUUAAGCACAUUCAUAGCAAUUAUUUUAUAAUUUAUUUGUGAUUCUAGGUUUCUUUUAAAGUAAUACUGAAGUUCUCCUGAUCUAAUUUUCUUAUACUCCUAAAAAAUCAGGGUAGUAGCGAGUGUUUGAACCACAUGGAUGUGUUUGUAUAGGUCAGAUUGGCAAGGAGAAUAGUUUCUUAAAUACAUCUAAAACACCAUUUUCCAAGAUGAUUAAAUCUGGUCUAAUUGAUCCUAUCCAAAGGAGUCCAAUUAGAGAGUAUUCUUGUUCUAGUUUGUUUUGUUUCUUCCCAGCAACACCCCCCCCCACCCCCCCCAACUAUUAGCCUUUCUACUGUUGAAAUUAAACAGUGGGGGAAGUCCUGUGAGAAAAAAAAUGCUUGUGUUUGAAGCAUCAUUUACUACACCGUGGAAGUAGGAAGACAACUUGUAUCAACACCUAUGCAUCUGUUUUGUUGUAUUUGUGUUUGUGACGGUGCUCGACUAUCAAUACCAGACUAAAAGCAUUCAUUGAGCAUCUGAACAGUCAUUUAAUUAUCACUGAAGUAAAUUCAGAACAUUGUUGUAAUUGAUUGAUUGGUGGAGAUCAACUAAUUAAUAGUAAUCGUACUCCAGAAAGAAAUUGCAAAGUUGUUAUUUAUGCUAUAGAAGCAACAGACUUUGUAUCCCUAGAGCUUUUAAUAAAAUACGUCAAUCUUUGGUUGGCCU